UCCAUCUGGAAAUAAUGGAAGAGCAUCACAUGAGUAUGAAACUUGAUCGAAUGAUUCUUGUGGAUAAUUAGUAAACUAUUUUACUUAAAGCAAUAUCAAUAGCAAUCAUAGCAUCAAUAUUUUUGUUAUUCCUAAAUAGUCACGAGUUAAUAACAAUAA